CUCGUUGUUCCUUUUUCCUAUGCAUAUACUUCUUUGAGAAUUGAAUCUAAAGAAGCGUAGGGCAUGGGAAAAUGGGGCAACUGAGGU
rnacentral:pre_miRNA from 13 species